rnacentral:tRNA from 1 species
GGGGGCGUAGCUCAGCUGGGAGAGCAUCUGAUUUGCAUUCAGAAGGUCGCAGGUUCGAUCCCUGUCGCCUCCACCA